AUACGGAGGAUGCGAGCGUUAUCCGGAUUUAUUGGGUUUAAAGGGUGCGUAGGCGGUUUGCUAAGCGGGAGGUGAAAUGCCGGCGCUCAACGUCGGAAGUGCCUCCCGAACUGGUGGACUGGAAUGACUCUGCCGUGGGAGGAAUGUGUAGUGUAGCGGUGAAAUGCUUAGAGAUUACACAGAACACCGAUUGCGAAGGCAUCUCACGAAGGGUUGAUUGACGCUGAGGCACGAAAGCGUGGGGAUCAAACAGGAUUAGAUACCCUGGUAGUCCACGCAGUAAACGAUGAUGGCUAACCGCUGGUUUAUUCGGAUCAGUGGCCAAGCGAAAGCGAUAAGCCAUCCACCUGGGGAGUACGACCGCAAGGUUGAAACUCAAAUGAAUUGGCGGGG
rnacentral:rRNA from 1 species